ACAAAAUAUUUUUCUGGUCGACUAGUAGUCGUUCCUUUUAAGCAUCAGUCGACUAACACAUGCUUAUUAAUAAACCAUUUAUAUCAUGCAAAUGAGCCUUUAAUUUCCUAAAUAGCCUAAUAAUCACUCAAGCACAAGCAUAAAGCUUGGCACAGCGCACUGCAGAAGUAAUGAUGAUGAAUGUAUCAGGGAAAUGCAGUAAGAUUAAAAUUCAUUAACAUUUUCAUAAUCUACUAGCAAAGUAGUGUUUUUGGCUUUAGAGAUGAAUUCGGCAACACUGUCUCAUCAUCCCCACAGUAGUGGAUGCACCUGCAUGCAAGUUUCAUACAGAUUACAUAAUCUAAGAAGUUUUGUUGCUAUAGCCAGUGCACACAAAUAAAAGUUGAGGCUUUAUAGAUUUGACAGAUGACCAAAAUGAUGGAGUAUUUUAAGAGCAAGUGACUGCACCGGAGCGUCCAUCUGUCAUGCUGUGAGUGCUACUGUUAGCUUCCACAGUCCACACAGACACUUAAAUAGCACACAUACUACUAGGAUAACAUUAGAUUGAGCGGCUAUGUAAAGUUGCUUACGUAAAGGAACUACUGGAUAUGUAAAGAACUUACAUAUUUCAGAUGAUAAGUCAUAUUUGAGGUCUAUAAAUCAUAUGGGAGCAUUUGGAUGUGUAUUAUACCACAAAAUCCAACCUUUAAUGAUAUAUCCAGACUGCAUUACCUACCACCCCAACAUAACUUUUUAUUUUAGCUUAACUAACUAUUCCAAAUGAACCAACAAAAUGGGCCUAGAGCGAUCAAUGGAGUACGUUUUAGUAUGCUUAUGAUUUUAAAUGUGACUGUCUAACUGUUGAAAAAGAUCCAACUUCAAAUAUAAAAUUAUAGACAAUUAAGUAGAGUACAUAUUUAAAAUUGCAGAAAUCUGAUUGGGCCAGUAAAAAAGAAAAAAGAAAAAAAAAAAGUAUGAACUGGUCAAAUCUAGUUCCACUGGACUAUUGACUUCAGAAUGUUCACAUUACAUUGGUUUGCUAAUUAUGCUUAACAAUGUAUCCAGUGUUUUCCACAUGGUUUUGGAAGAACAUGAUGGGUAGACCUCUCGAUGGGUAGACCAAUUUUGUAUAUUUUAAAAUUAAAUGCAUCCAAUCUGGUGCACUUUGAGUGUUCAAAAUUAAAAGCUCCAACCCAGGUUCAGUGACUUUAU
rnacentral:lncRNA from 1 species